GCCCCUAUGAGUCUAACUCUAGCCCAUCUUCUUCCUUCCUCCAUUUUCUUUCUCUGGCAAAUUUUUUUGAAGUGUUCACACAUGAAAUCAAACACUUCAAUUCAAUACUACAACGCUCAUGUCAGAAAUCUUCUUCAUUAGUCAAUAAAGCUUGCCACAAUAUCUCACAAAAUCUGGAAGAAGCCCCAAAGUUUGAAUUCUCAAUCUUCCUCCAUUAAUGUUUCUUGACCCAAGUUCAUUUUUUUCAAAGGUUAAACUGAUCAACAGUAGGAGCAUAGCUUCCAAUAAUUUCUAUAAAUACCGAUUGAUUUCCAAGAUUUGCCAACACAAACAAAACCAAAAAUCAGAACUUUGUUAACCAAAAAUACCACAAAAUAAACCCACUGCUUUGUUUCCUCCUCUGUUUUGGGCGAGCUCCACCGCAACACCACCACCUGCUGCGUCUUCGUGCACCACGACAGUCACGCAGCAGCCAGCCUCCUAGCCACCUAACACUUCCGCCGACCACCACCGACCCACCCUCACGCACUCCUCUUCUUCUUUCGCUACACCCACUCGCAGCACCAUUCUCUCUCUUCUCGACCCACCUGUGCCGACGCGCCUCCACCGGAACCAACUCCAUCUUCACUCCGACGAAUCCGACGAACCACCCUCAAGCUCACUGCCGCAUCCUCCCUCUCCGGCGACACGCAGCUGCUCCUCUUUUCCCCUGUUUUGUUUUUGCCGCAAGAUUAAGGAAAAAGGGAUAUUACAAGCCUCCCCCGAUUAUCAAAGUUACUAAGCAGGAUUUGAGGUAAUGACGGGGAUGACGGAAUGGCGUAGCAGUGAGGAAUAAUUACUACUUAAAUUAUGCAGACUCUUAUUAAUAUGUAUUCUAAGCUUGAGAAUAUUAGUUUAUGAACCUUAAUUAUGUUUCACCUAGUG